UACAGUUGCCUUUUUUGUCUCUCCCU
rnacentral:piRNA from 1 species